rnacentral:rRNA from 1 species
CAGCAGCCACGGUAACACAGAGGGUGCGAGCGUUAAUCGGAUUUACUGGGCGUAAAGCGUGCGUAGGCGGCUUUUUAAGUCGGAUGUGAAAUCCCCGAGCUUAACUUGGGAAUUGCAUUCGAUACUGGGAAGCUAGAGUAUGGGAGAGGAUGGUAGAAUUCCAGGUGUAGCGGUGAAAUGCGUAGAGAUCUGGAGGAAUACCGAUGGCGAAGGCAGCCAUCUGGCCUAAUACUGACGCUGAGGUACGAAAGCAUGGGGAGCAAACAGGAUUAGAUACCCGCGUAGUCCCUGUCUCUUAUAC